rnacentral:rRNA from 1 species
GAUGAACGCUGGCGGCGUGCUUAACACAUGCAAGUCGAACGAAGCUGCUUAACUGAUCUUCUUCGGAAUUGAUGUUUUGUAGACUGAGUGGCGGACGGGUGAGUAACGCGUGGGUAACCUGCCCUGUACAGGGGGAUAACAGUUAGAAAUGACUGCUAAUACCGCAUAAGACCACAGCACCGCAUGGUGCAGGGGUAAAAACUCCGGUGGUACAGGAUGGACCCGCGUCUGAUUAGCUAGUUGGUGAGGUAACGGCUCACCAAGGCGACGAUCAGUAGCCGGCUUGAGGGAGUGAACGGCCACAUUGGGACUGAGACACGGCCCAAACUCCUACGGGAGGCAGCAGUGGGGAAUAUUGCACAAUGGGGGAAACCCUGAUGCAGCGACGCCGCGUGAGUGAAGAAGUAUCUCGGUAUGUAAAGCUCUAUCAGCAGGGAAGAAAAUGACGGUACCUGACUAAGAAGCCCCGGC